rnacentral:ncRNA from 1 species
UUUAAUCGCUUGGGGUGCCUGCGCGUCAUCGCUACGGCUGAGAUUAUACCCGUUGAACCCGACAAGGUAAUGCUUGACUGGGGAAUGAGUUUUUUGGCGUUU